GGCUGGCCCAGGCUGUGCCGUAGUGUUUACAACUAAUUGAUCACAGCCCGUUACAGAUUUAUUUGUUCCUUCCCCACUCCCACUGCUUCACUUGACUGGACUUAA
ensembl:Y_RNA Y_RNA Y RNA